AUUGAACGCUGGCGGCAUGCCUUACACAUGCAAGUCGAACGGCAGCGGGGACUUCGGUCCGCCGGCGAGUGGCGAACGGGUGAGUAAUGUAUCGGAACGUACCAUUCAGUGGGGGAUAACUAUCCGAAAGGAUAGCUAAUACCGCAUAUUCUGUAAGCAGGAAAGCAGGGGAUCGCAAGACCUUGCGCUGAUUGAGCGGCCGAUAUCAGAUUAGCUAGUUGGUGAGGUAAAGGCUCACCAAGGCGACGAUCUGUAGCGGGUCUGAGAGGAUGAUCCGCCACACUGGAACUGAGACACGGUCCAGACUCCUACGGGAGGCAGCAGUGGGGAAUUUUGGACAAUGGGGGCAACCCUGAUCCAGCCAUGCCGCGUGAGUGAAGAAGGCCUUCGGGUUGUAAAGCUCUUUCGGCCGGGAAAAAAUCGCAUGAAUUAAUACCCUGUGUGGAUGAUGGUACCGGAAUAAGAAGCACCGGCUAACUACGUGCCAGCCGCCGCGGUAA
rnacentral:rRNA from 1 species